GACAAACGCUGGCGGCGUGCUUAACACAUGCAAGUCGAACGGUCACAUUUCGGUGUGAUAGUGGCGGACGGGUGAGUAACACGUAGUUAACCUACCCAACAGUGGGGAAUAACCCCUCGAAAGAGGAGCUAAUACCGCAUACGCUCUCCGGUGAUAGCCAGAGAGGAAACCCGCGAGGGGCUGAUGGAUGGGACUGCGGCGGAUUAGCUAGAUGGUGGGGUAACGGCCUACCAUGGCGACGAUCCGUAGCUGGUCUGAGAGGACGACCAGCCACACUGGGACUGAGACACGGCCCAGACUCCUACGGGAGGCAGCAGUGAGGAAUAUUCCACAAUGGGCGAAAGCCUGAUGGAGCGACGCCGCGUGCGGGAAGACGCCUUUCGGGUGUAAACCG
rnacentral:rRNA from 1 species